GUGGGUACAAGGAAUCUACUUUAUUCAGCACACUAACCUAAUUUCCGAGACAUGUUACAUACCUGAAACAUGUCUUAGAAAUUUUUUUUUUUCUUGGUUUGUGUGCUGAACAAAGUAGAUUCCUUGUACCCA
rnacentral:pre_miRNA from 1 species